rnacentral:tRNA from 1 species
GAGGGGAUAGCUCAAGUGGUAGAGCACAUGCUUAGCAUGCAUGAGGUCCUGAGUUCAAUCCCCAGUACCUCCU